AUGCGUGCGUGGCUGUACCGGUGGUGGUUGGUGGGCGGUACGGCGGGGCAGGGCAUGGGGUCGCGGGAGAUUUUUUACCGCCGGUGGCGCCAGAUUCGGCGUUGCAUGCGGCGACGGCUGCGCGCAUUGCGCUCCUUGCGUCCGCGGGAGUCCGCCGGGAACAGUGGCUCCUUGGCUUUACGUCGUUUUCCCGAGGGAUUUACGUGUCGAUGUCUGGUUUCGAGGGGAAAGCCUCGGUCUUUUGGCCGGCGAUUCGGUUCCUGGGGCGUCCAUUGGACGCCGGCUGUGUUGAGCGGGGCUUAUGUUCGCAUGCAUGUGGAUGGUUUUAUCUGUUUUGCGGAUUUUGUAAGGACGGCAGGGGUUAGCACGAUUAAAUCUGUUACUAGGAUCCAGGAGUCGUGUCAGUCUCUCGCGUUCCAUGUCAAGCUGCUGUCUAUGGGCGCAAGUAGAUGGUUUCCUUGUGCCAACCCUGGUUCGUGGUUUCAUGCUAUUUUUGUUGGGUGGUGUAUGUACAAUGCACAUGUCUCCUCUUAA
rnacentral:rRNA from 1 species